UUCUUCUCAAUUCUCGACGGCCACAUGAAUCUCUCGCUCUUCUCCUGGCGACACGAGAAGGAGCCGUCGUCGAUCCUUGUUAAGCAGCGAGGAUGUUGCCACUUCGCAAGCGAAGGCAAAGAGGAGUUCGCUUGGCACCGUGGGCUUCGUCUUUUUCCUCAUCUUCUUCUCUUUCUCUUUGUGAGUCUGCUUUCUAUUCUCGCUCUCAGGGAGAGGGGAAAGCGAGGAGGAGCGUGCUUGCUUUUGGGAUGUUCGGCGACAGGGAAGAUCGGUGUUGAAAGACACAAACGAGAAAACCAAUUUUGAUUCUUAAUGCUGAUUCAUAUGAUGUAAACAAGGGGAGAAAGCUUCAGCAGCAACAGCAAUUAGACUCCCCGGAAGCUUGCCGCAGUGGCGGUUCCCAUCAUUCCUCAGAAGAAACCCCAUCCUUAAAGGGUUUUAGUGAUCAUCUGCGUGGACUACCGAGCACGAAUAUGGCAACCUCCCCUAGGCCAGAGGGGGCUCACUACGACAAUGUUGGACCACACAAAACGCUUUUGUCGAAUCCGACAGCAGGACUUCCUGAGGUACAUUAUGAUCAAGUCAUGGUUCUGUCUAAUGCAGCUGGAGCUGGAAUGCCGAGUGUAGCUCCGGUUCUUGGUAGUAAUCAUCAGCUUCUUUCUUUGGUGAAUGACAAGGCACUUACAGGUGGAAGUGUUUGUGUUAGCGGUGAUCAUCUUCAAGUGCCUGAGAAAGCUGCGUGCACGAACAUGAUUGGGGGAAUGCCUGUUGCAUUAGCCCCUAUGACUCCAGCGAAGGAUAAACAAGUUUAUGGCUUUAUACAGCAUGAAAUGAGUCAAGUAAAUCAAGAUGACCUUAUCCACAAAGGAAGCAUGAAGAAAGCUCACACAAGACAAGGCUGUGUGAAUGUCUUGCUUGAUUCUUCUCAGCUAGUAGCACCUAUAACUCCAGAUAAGAGUAAGGCGUUGGAGAAUAAUCAUGAAAUGAUCCAGUCGACUGGCAUUGGUCUGAAUAGGGAUGGGAAUGUACAGGAAGGAAGUCAAUCCUCUGGAGACAGUUUGUUAAUCGAAGGUGCUUCCUUAAUGAAACAAAGGAUUGAGAUACAUACUCCAUUUUCAUCUCAUUUUAGUCAACCAGUUGAGAGAAUAAACAUAGAAAGAAACCUAAGAACUAAAAAGACGAAAGCAGCAACAAGGAAAAAGCACAGGCCUAAGGUUCUUAAAGAUUUGCCUUUUGGCCCAAAAGAACCAGUAAUUCCAAAGCCAGUUACUCCCAAACAGGUAAAGAGAAAACAAAACCAGUCCAGGAGUAAUGUGCCUAAAAAAAACUCAAAUUGUUCAAAUGCACCACAAGAGAUGACUAGAGAUACAAGCAAAACUUCAAGAAUAGCAAGGAAAUCUUCCAACCAACAUAGUGAUAAUGGGACUAGACGAAGACUUGAUUUUUCUUCUGAAAACCAAUCUGUAGAUGAGCAUCCAAAGGAUGCAUUCAUUGGAUCUCCAAUUCAUUAUUCUAGAAGAGAAUUAUUGAAGAAAAAUUGGAAGCAUCUGGCUAGAAUGGCUGGCAAGGCAAAUAGUACAUAUAAAACCCACAUUGUUGAGGUAUCAAAACAGAAUAAUAUUCAGAGUCAUGUAAAGUUAGAUGGUGAUACAGAGAUGACUUUAGUGCAAGGGGAAAUGGAGAAUGAACAAGCUAAAAGUUGUUAUAAUCAUGUUGACAAUGCCCGAAGAGGUUGCAUAUAUCCAAUUUCAAGUAAUAAAGCCUUUAUGCAGACACAUGCCAGCAAUAUUCCACAAUUUCCACCGGAAUGUAAAAGGAGGAGAACCAUGCUAAUGCACAAUGGGAGAUUUGGUAAAAUGAAACGAAUCUCCAAAUCAUGUAGCUUUGUAGAUGAACAAAAUUUGGUAACAUUGGGUGAUUUGCGAACCUCAGAUUUCAUAUUAACAUCUGAUCUCAUCAAACGAGUGACAAAGAAGAGAUCAAAGGUGCCUAUUCGAGCCCCUAAGCCGGUUCUCACUGAGAUAGUUGCAGGCAACAAAGAACUUUUGCAAAACCUUGAAAGUAGACAUCAGGAAUGUGUCGAAGCCUUGUUCACAGAUACUCGUAUGAGAAUCAAAACAGGAAAACGAACAAAAAGGAAACAUGUUCAUCUCCAUUCAACAUCUGACCAAUGUACUGAUAUGUCGCAAGCAAUUGUGCCUUAUAUGUAUCCAACAUAUAAUUACAAUGCAGCUGAAGGACAAUCUGCUCUUGUAAGUUAUGAAAGCAACAUGAUUGUUCCAUAUGCAGGAUCUUAUGAAACCAAGAGAAAGCGCCUCAAAGCCAAGGUUGAUUUGGAUGAUGAGACCAAAAGGGUAUGGAAUCUUUUAAUGGGAAAAAUGAUCAGAUAUGAAGGAUCAGAUCCGGACAGAGAAGAGCAAUGGGAAGAACAAAGAACAGUAUUUGGUGCUCGUGCAGAUUCAUUCAUUGCACGAAUGCGUCUUAUCCAAGGAGAUAGACAAUUCUCUCCCUGGAAAGGUUCUGUAUUGGACUCUGUGAUAGGUGUUUUUCUAACCCAGAAUGUAUCAGACCACCUCUCAAGCUCUGCUUUUAUGGCUCUUGCUGCAAAGUUUCCACUUAAGCCAAGAAAAGAUAACUUAGAACAAAAUGCAAAUAGAAUGAGCAUCUUUACUGACGAACAUGAUAUCAUCACAUCUUCUAACAUGCUUUGUCAACACAAUCCAUUGGGUCAUAAUGUGUUUGAACCGGAUUCUUUCAUCUAUUACAUUGGAGAUGAGGAAGGAAACAAAAUGCACAGACCUGAUGAACCAGGGAGAGUGAAUACAGGUUAUCAUGACCUAGAAAAUUCUUGUACAGAUGUGAAUGCCCAGAGAAGAAGGCCUGAAGGACGUUCUUUCACAUCAGAUGACAAAACAGAGAUUUCUACAACAGUAAGAACGGGUUUGCAUUUUGAAGAUAAAAGGAUACUGAAUGAGGCAGUAUCCUCAUUGAACUUCUCUCCAUCUGACAGCAUUUCAAGCAGUCUUUUUCCCAGUACCACCUAUGCUGGAUUAAGUCUCCCUACACUCGUGAACACAGAUCCAAGAACUGUCUUGGAUAGUUAUUCCCUCAGUCAGGAGCCUAUAGAUAUAUCAGGAGUAAGCAUUACUCAUGGAGUUCACAACCUCAAUGAUGGGAUGAUGUCACUAAACAAGCCCAGUACAGUUGAUGAUCAGAACUCUGAAAAUUUAACUUCAUUUGGUAGAUUGAAGAUUGUGGAAGAUGCCUGCCAAGAAACCAGUUCCAAGGCUAGUUCUCUACUUAAUUGUUCACAACUUGAUUCCAUGGGUUUGCUGCCAGAUUUAACAUCUGAUUCCUCUGAUUCAGUCAAUAUGAAGAAUGUUGAUUCAAGACAAAGUAAAAGCAUUUCGAGAUUCAUUUUGUCUGAUCCUACCAAGUUCAAUAAAGACACAGUAACUGCUCAGAGAAACUGCAAUGAAUCUUCCAAAAACUCAACUGAACCUUUAAGCCAGCAAUCAUCAGCAACCAUGUCCAAUGUGACCAUUUCUCAUGAUACAAGAUCAUCCAUAGGCAAGCUACACUUUAGAUCACUCGCUUCCUUAUAUGGAGAGGAAGAUGCUAUGAUAUCAAAGCAAAGUGAAUCAAAGGACUGUGAGGUGGAAAAAAAUCAGUACGAAGUUGGGAUUUCAUCUCAAAAACAGCUCCAUCUAUUGCAGGGUGCAAUUUCAAAUUCAUGCAAUGAUUUAAAGAGAUCAUUUCAGCUGAUGGAUAUAGUUGAACCUAACUCAAAAGUUGAAGUUUGCAGUCCCAUUAAGGUUCCAUCAGAAGCAUCAAAAGGUGCACCAAAGGCAAAGAACACCAGGGAGGAGUCUGCAAAGAAAACUUCCUUUGACUGGGAUAGUUUGCGAAGGGAAGCAUGCCACAAUGGUUAUAACUCAGAGAGAAGUAAAGAUAGAAUGGACUCAUUAGAUUGGGAAGCUGUAAUGCGUUCAAAUAUUGGAGAAAUUUCAGAAACCAUAAAAGAAAGAGGAAUGAACAAUGUACUAGCAGGCAGGAUCAAGGAUUUUCUUAACCGUUUAGUUACAGAUCAUGGAAGCCUUGACCUUGAGUGGCUAAGGGAUGUUCCCCCAGAGAAAACAAAGGAUUACCUUCUCAGCAUACGAGGGUUAGGACUCAAGAGUGUUGAAUGUGUUAGGCUUUUGACACUUCAUCAACAUGCUUUUCCUGUUGACACAAAUGUUGGGCGGAUAUGUGUGAGACUUGGUUGGGUGCCUCUGAAACCCCUACCAGAAUCCCUCCAACUGCAUCUUUUAGAGAGCUAUCCAGUAUUGGAGACUAUUCAAAAGUAUCUUUGGCCUCGAUUAUGCAAGCUGGAUCAACGGACAUUGUAUGAGCUGCAUUAUCAAAUGAUAACUUUCGGAAAGGUUUUUUGCACAAAAGGCAAACCAAAUUGUAAUGCAUGUCCAAUGAGAGGAGAGUGCAGGCACUUUGCUAGUGCAUGGACUAGUUCAAGACUACUUCAAGGACCAGAGGAGAGAGAACUAGUGAAAUCAACAAUGAGUGUUGCAUUGGAAAACCAUGAUAUUAAACUAUUAAAUGCAGUGUCAUUAUGCCAAAAUGAGGAGAAUUACCUUUUGCAAGGAACUAGACACAAUGAUGAUCCUAUUAUUGAAGAGCCACCAUCACCUGAACUGCAAUGCCAAGUAGCUUUUGAAAGUGAGAUAGAAGAAACUUAUUAUGAAGAUCCUUGUGAAAUUCCUACCAUAAAUUUGAACUUGGGAGAGUUCACACAGAACUUGCAGAACUAUAUACAAGAAAAUGUUGAGCUUUCAGAUGGUGAAAUUGAAAAAGCUAUAGUUGCUAUCACUAGUGAAUCUGCUUCAAUUCCUAUGCCCAAGCUUAAGAAUGUGAAACGUCUACGGACGGAGCAUUUAGUUUACGAGCUUCCAGAUGGGCACCCUCUCCUUGAAGGGUUAGAGAAAAGAGAAAUUGAUGAUCCGUGUCCAUACCUCCUGAGCAUCUGGGCCCCAGGUGAAACCGUACACUCUAUUGAACCACCACAAACAUGCUGCAAUCAUCAAGAAACAGGAAGAAUAUGCCAAGAUAUGACAUGCUUUUCUUGCAGUUGCAGACGGGAGGAACAAUCUCAAACAAUCAGAGGAACACUUCUGAUUCCCUGUCGAACUGCAAAUAGAGGAAGCUUUCCGCUGAAUGGCACUUAUUUCCAAGUUAAUGAGGUAUUUGCAGACCAUGAGUCAAGCCACAAUCCAUUAAUUAUUCCCAGGAGGUUGAUAUGGAACCUUCGCAGGAGGAUUGUUUAUUUUGGCACCAGCAUACCAACAUUAUUCAGAGGUCUAUCAAUGGAGGAGAUACAACUCUGUUUUUCAAGAGGAUUUGUUUGCUUAAGAGGGUUUGACCAAAAAGUAAGAGCACCCAGGCCCCUUAGUCCAAGACUGCACCUAGCAGCAAGCCAUGCACAAAAAGAUAAAAAGUCAACACACAAGAAUGAGAAGAAUGCUGCAACAGGGGCAGCUGAUAAAAUCUAGCCACAGUUCCACCGCUUAGAAGAAUGGCCUGGUAGACAAAUGCUGUAUACAUUGGCACUGAUGUUGUGUCGCUCGCCUUUAAGACAGCUAGCUGGGUGCAAUUUGUUCCAGAUCAGGCUCUGAGCUUUUCGCCGACUUUGAUGAUCGAGUGAUGACUGCUUGCUGGUUCACCUGUGUGCUCUGUUGUCGUUGACAAGUUCGGGUUGUGCUGGAGUCUCCUUCCCACUGGUGCCAUAGCUGCAAAUGUGGUAGGUAGCGCACCACCAUUUCUAAGCAUUUCUAUCUAGUUAGAGAUUACGACAGUUACUCUGUCUCCUUGUUUUCAAGCUCCAAAAGGAUUAGAAAAAGUAGAUUAAAUUUUUACAUUUAUUCAAGAACAAUAGUUGGACUUAGCUAAGUCACACCCAUAGAUCGUAAAAAAUGAUCUAUGGAUCUGGUUCGUUGAUAUGAUGAGAGUGUCACUGAUAAUUAGCUCGAUAGAGGCUUAUCAAUGUGCUUGAAGACACAAGGAAGCCUUAUGUUUUGAGCUUGAGCACAAGCUAGUCAUGUCGAGAAACUCAAAAAAUUUGAGUUUCGGUUCUAGAGGGUUCGUGUUUGCUAAUUUUGUCGCCUAAACUAAGGUAUUUAAAGAUCAAGGGUCUAAGAGGACAAUGACCUAAAAUAGAGGCAUUUAGACUUAUGUUUGCGACUUUGACAUGUUUGGUAGCCAUAAACUUGACUUGAAGUUUUUUUUUAUUUA